rnacentral:rRNA from 1 species
UUCGGGUCGCCGGCGAGUGGCAAACGGGUGAGUAACGCGUGGAUACCUGUCCUGUGGUGGGGAAUAACGUUUAGAAAUGAACGCUAAUACCGCAUAAGCCCUGCGGGGGAAAGAUUUAUCGCCAUAGGAGGGGUCCGCGUCGGAUUAGCUAGUUGGUGGGGUAACGGCCUACCAAGGCGACGAUCCGUAGCUGGUCUGAGAGGAUGAUCAGCCACACUGGGACUGAGACACGGCCCAGACUCCUACGGGAGGCAGCAGUGGGGAAUAUUGCGCAAUGGAGGAAACUCUGACGCAGCGACGCCGCGUGGGUGAAGAAGGCCUUAGGGUUGUAAAGCCCUUUCAGUGGGAAAGAUGAUGACGGUACCCACAGAAGAAGCCCCGGCUAACUCCGUGCCAGCAGCCGCGGUAAUACGGAGGGGGCCAGCGUUGUUCGGAAUUACUGGGCGUAAAGGGCGCGUAGGCGGUUGAUCAAG